GCACAAGCGGUGGAUGAUGUGGUUUAAUUCGAUGCAACGCGAAAACCUUACCCACCUUUGACAUGGCAGGAAUCCUGAAGAGAUUUGGGAGUGCUCGAAAGAGAACCUGCACACAGGUGCUGCAUGGCUGUCGUCAGCUCGUGUCGUGAGAUGUUGGGUUAAGUCCCGCAACGAGCGCAACCCUUGCCAUUAGUUGCUACGAAAGGGCACUCUAAUGGGACUGCCGGUGACAAACCGGAGGAAGGUGGGGAUGACGUCAAGUCCUCAUGGCCCUUAUAGGUGGGGCUACACACGUCAUACAAUGGCCGGUACAGAGGGUAGCCAACCCGCGAGGGGGAGCCAAUCCCACAAAGCCGGUCGUAGUCCGGAUUGUUCUCUGCAACUCGAGAGCAUGAAGUCGGAAUCGCUAGUAAUCGCAGGUCAGCAUACUGCGGUGAAUACGUUCCCGGGUCUU
rnacentral:rRNA from 1 species